rnacentral:rRNA from 1 species
GAGUUUUGAUCAUGGCUCAGGAUGAACGCUAGCUACAGGCUUAACACAUGCAAGUCGAGGGGCAGCAUGGUCUUAGCUUGCUAAGGCCGAUGGCGACCGGCGCACGGGUGAGUAACGCGUAUCCAACCUGCCUUACACUCUUGGACAGCCUUCUGAAAGGGAGAUUAAUACAAGAUGUUAUCAUGAGUAAGCAUUUUCACAUGAUUAAAGGUUUACCGGUGUAAGAUGGGGAUGCGUUCCAUUAGAUAGUAGGCGGGGUAACGGCCCACCUAGUCUUCGAUGGAUAGGGGUUCUGAGAGGAACGGUCCCCCACAUUGGAACUGAGACACGGUACCAACUCCUACGGGAGGCAGCA